rnacentral:rRNA from 1 species
CCCUUAGAUGUUCUGGGCUGCACGCGCGCUACACUGACGAAGGCAACGAGCUUUCCUUUACCGAAAGGUACGGGUAAUCUUUUGAAACUUCGUCGUGCUGGGGAUAGAUCCUUGCAAUUUUUGAUCUUAAACGAGGAAUGCCUAGUAAGCGCAAGUCAUCAACUUGCGUUGAUUACGUCCCUGCCCUUUGUACACACCGCCCGUCGCUACUACCGAUUGAAUGGUUUAGUGAGGCCUUCGGAUCCGCGACUCGUUUGUGGAGAAGUUGGACAAACUCAGUCAUUUAGAGGAAGUAAAAGUCGUAACA